UACGGAGGGGGCUAGCGUUGUUCGGAAUUACUGGGCGUAAAGCGCACGUAGGCGGCUUUGCAAGUUAGAGGUGAAAGCCCGGAGCUUAACUCCGGAAUUGCCUUUAAAACUGCAUCGCUAGAAUUGUGGAGAGGUGAGUGGAAUUCCGAGUGUAGAGGUGAAAUUCGUAGAUAUUCGGAAGAACACCAGUGGCGAAGGCGACUCACUGGACACAUAUUGACGCUGAGGUGCGAAAGCGUGGGGAGCAA
rnacentral:rRNA from 1 species